ACUCAAAUGAAUUGACGGGGGCCCGCACAAGCGGUGGAGCAUGUGGUUUAAUUCGAUGCUACGCGAAGAACCUUACCUGGGCUUGACAUCCCACGCUACCCUAUGAAAGUAGGGGUUCCCUUCGGGGACGUGGAGACAGGUGCUGCAUGGCUGUCGUCAGCUCGUGUUGUGAGAUGUUGGGUUAAGUCCCGCAACGAGCGCAACCCUCGUCCUUAGUUACCAUCAUUUAGUUGGGCACUCUAAGGAUACCGCUUGGCUAUAAGCCAGAGGAAGGUGGGGAUGACGUCAAGUCCUCAUGGCCUUUAUGUCCAGGGCUACACACGUGCUACAAUGGGGAGUACAAAGCGUCGCAAGCGCGCAAGUGCAAGCAAAUCGCAAAAAACUCCUUUUAGUUCGGAUUGGAGUCUGCAACUCGACUCCAUGAAGCUGGAAUCGCUAGUAAUCGCGGAUCAGAACGCCGCGGUGAAUACGUUCCCGGGCCUUGUACACACCGCCCGU
rnacentral:rRNA from 1 species